rnacentral:rRNA from 1 species
UAGAGUUUGAUCCUGGCUCAGGACGAACGCUGGCGGCGUGCCUAAUACAUGCAAGUCGAGCGGGGUUAAUUUUAGAGCUUGCUCUUUAAUUAACCUAGCGGCGGAUGGGUGAGUAACACGUGGGUAACCUGCCUAAAAGACUGGGAUAACUCCGGGAAACCGGUGCUAAUACUGGAUAAUCUACAUGGUCAUCGGACCAAGUAGUAAAAGGUGGCGUAAGCUACCACUUUUAGAUGGGCCCGCGUCGCAUUAGCUAGUUGGUGGGGUAAUGGCCUACCAAGGCAACGAUGCGUAGCCGACCUGAGAGGGUGAUCGGCCACACUGGGACUGAGAUACGGCCCAGACUCCUACGGGAGGCAGCAGUAGGGAAUCUUCCGCAAUGGACGAAAGUCUGACGGAGCAACGCCGCGUGAAUGAUGAAGGUUUUCGGAUUGUAAAAUUCUGUCAUUAGGGAAGAAUGUUUGUAGUUUAAAUAAGGCUAUAAAUUGACGGUACCUAAAGAGGAAGCCCCGGCUAACUACGUGCCAGCAGCCGCGGUAAUACGUAGGGGGCAAGCGUUGUCCGGAAUUAUUGGGCGUAAAGCGCGCGCAGGCGGUCUAAUAAGUCUGAUGUGAAAGCCCACGGCUCAACCGUGGAUGGUCAUUGGAAACUGUUAGACUUGAGUAUAGGAGAGGAAAGUGGAAUUCCAUGUGUAGCGGUGAAAUGCGUAGAUAUAUGGAGGAACACCAGUGGCGAAGGCGACUUUCUGGCCUAUGUCUGACGCUGAGGCGCGAAAGCGUGGGGAGCAAACAGGAUUAGAUACCCUGGUAGUCCACGCUGUAAACGAUGAGUGCUAGGUGUUAGGGGUUUC